CAUGUGCCCUUACUUAGGCGGCC
rnacentral:misc_RNA from 1 species